rnacentral:rRNA from 1 species
UACGGAGGGGGCCAGCGUUGUUCGGAAUCAUUGGGCGUAAAGGGCGCGUAGGCGGCCGAUCAAGUCGGAGGUGAAAUCCCCGGGCUCAACCCGGGAACUGCGUCCGAUACUGGCAGGCUUGAAUUCGGGAGAGGGAUGCGGAAUUCCAGGUGUAGCGGUGAAAUGCGUAGAUAUCUGGAGGAACGCCGGUGGCGAAGGCGGCAUCCUGGACCGAGAUUGACGCUGAGGCGCGAAAGCCAGGGGAGCAAACGGG